AUAACGGUCCUAAGGUAGCGAAAUUCCUUGUCAGGUAAGUUCUGACCCGCACGAAUGGCGUAAUGAUUUGGGCACUGUCUCAACAGCCCGCCCGGCGAAAUUGUAGUACUGGUGAAGAUGCCAGUUACCCGCAACUAGACGGAAAGACCCCAUGGAGCUUUACUGCAGUUUAAUACUGGGAAUCGGUAAUUCAUGUACAGGAUAGGUGGGAGACUGAGAAGCAUGGCCGUCAGGUCGUGUGGAGUCACCGGUGGGAUACCACUCUUGGAUUGCUGGUUUCCUAACCUGCGGCCCUGAAUCGGGUCGGGGGACACUGUUAGACGGGCAGUUUGACUGGGGCGGUCGCCUCCAAAAGAGUAACGGAGGCGCUCAAAGGUUCGUUCAGCACGGACGGAAAUCGUGCAUUGAGUGUAAACGCAUAAACGAGCCUAACUGCGAGACCGACGGGUCGAGCAGUAACGAAAGUUGGAGUUAGUGAUCCGGUGGUAUGUGAGUGGAAAUGCCAUCGCUCAACGGAUAAAAGCUACCCUGGGGAUAACAGGCUGAUCUCCCCCAAGAGUCCACAUCGACGGGGAGGUUUGGCACCUCGAUGUCGGCUCAUCGCAUCCUGGGGCUGUAUUCGGUCCCAAGGGUUUGGCUGUUCGCCAAUUAAAGCGGCACGCGAGCUGGGUUCAGAACGUCGUGAGACAGUUCGGUCCCUAUCUGUUGCGGGCGUAAGAGAUUUGAAGGGAGCUGUCCUUAGUACGAGAGGACCGGGAUGGACGUACCUCUGGUGCACCAGUUGUCCUGCCAAGGGCAUAGCUGGGUAGCUAUGUACGGACGAGAUAAACGCUGAAAGCAUCUAAGCGUGAAACUCCCCCUAAGAUGAGAUCUCUCAUCCUUUAAGGAGUAAGGACCCAGAAAGACGAUCUGGUUGAUAGGCCGAAGGUGGAAGCGCAGUAAUGCGUGCAGCUGAUCGGUACUAAUAGUCCGAGGGCUUGACCUA
rnacentral:rRNA from 1 species